AGCUCUGUGUCUUGGCUUUCACUCGCUGAAGUCUGCUUCUAGGCAGUGCUCCUCCUAGUGCUGUUGACGUUAACUUUUGCCCUGUGAACCCUGAUGCGGUGUAGCUGCAUGGGUCUGGGCUGAAUGCUGGGGGUGGUCAGGGAGGAUAAAGGGAAGAAAAGCCAAAAAGCUGCUGCAGCUCUGCUUCUCCUGCUGUGCUUUGACACGUCUGUGGCAGUGCGGGCAGCAGCUCCGAGGCCUGGUGGGCCUGCCCACAGUGAACGUCCCCACCACAAUGACGUGUGGCUGGUUGAGGGCUGGUGCCAGGCGGUGCAGGCCAGCCUGGGCCCAUUCUGCAAGUGGUGCUGGGGCUCUGCGGAGGCUGGGGCAGGGUGCUGGGGCUGGAGGAGCUCAGCCAGGUGUGAGCAAACCCCGAGGAGCGAGCCCUUGGCUCCGUGGACUUGCAGGGACUGGCUGAGCUCCAGCAUGGCAGCGGCCAUGAUGGCCUUAUGGAUGCUGCCAGAGGAAAGGGGCUGUCGUCUUGCAUGAGUGCACGUGAAGGGUGAUGCUGGAGAGGACACAAAUGAGCUAUUCAAGCUUUUUUUUUUUUUUUUUUUUUCUCCUUCUGCUGGCAUUGGCCUGUGGUCUGGACACUGCCUUGAUCUACACGGAUGUGUCUGGCUGUGAGCAUUUUUGAUGACACUCGCGCUGAGAGCAAGGCAUCUUGUCAGAGGCUCAAGGUGCCCCACUCUGCUCCCAGGACGUGGAGCGUGCCCUGACCCUGGAUGAAAAGGCACAGAAAGGGCUAGCACUUCAAAUUACAAAUCUGGUUUGGUGACCUUCUCAGCACAGUAUAGAAAGGCUUUGGACUUUGAAAGGACUGAAAGCAAAUGACGCCCACGGGAAAGAAGAGACGGAGAGGUGUAGCCUGAGUUGCUGAGGAGCCUUGGCGGUGCUGCCAAAUGUCUCCUGUGAGCCUUGCCCAGCAGAGCAGACACCGGAGCCUGGACUGCUCCUGUGCUUCACAGAGGCUUGUGCUUGUUCGGGGCAGGUUUCAGCACAGACAGGGGCUGCUUGGGGCCAUUUGAGGCCUUUAAAAAAUUCUUACCAUCAGCUGGAAGAACAUACCUCAUGAGGUGUUGAAAAGAAAUCCUUGGAAGCAUGAAAUAAAGAGGAGAGGGGAAACAAAGCAGUGGGUUCAGCUAGUCCACGGGGUGACCUGUGUGGCUCCCAGGGCGCUCAGCCGGUGCUGGGCUGGUCGCCGCAGCGAUGAGCGGUCCCCACACAAGUGCGGUACGAUGCAGCGAUGGUGAGCACACGAGCCCUGCGCACGUGUGGAGCAGGGGCUUGGUUUCUGCCGUCCCCUCGCUUCUGCAUUUUUAUCCCCAGCACAAGACUGGCACAAGACUGGCAGCUCCUUCUGUGUGCACGAGCUGCCGCAAUCGCUGCGGCUUCCCACUUGUGUUUUUUUUUCUUUUCUCUGGAAGACUCGGUUGGUUGUCAGCGCCUGUCUGCCUGCUGAGUAACUUGCAUAUUGGGAAAGCACGAGAGAAAAAUCCUCUUCUUAGACCUAGGUGAAAUCUUUCCAGCAAAGAGUGAACUUAAAGAAAGGAACCUGAGGGACCAAAGCUGUCUGUGAAAUUGGACUGAAGUCUGGAUGAGGAAAGAGAUGCUAGGAACUGGGUCUUUGAACACGCUGGAUGCUUUAGGAGUGCUUUUCAUGGAAAUGUAGUUUUGAAAUAGCUUUUUUUUUUUUUUUUUCACCUAAAUUUUUGCAUUAUUUUUGUUUUAUUUUUAUUAUUUUUUUUAAUAAUUUGUACCAAAGAAAACCGUGAAAACCUGGCCCAGGGAAUUUUGACUGCAUUAGAAAACAAACAAGCUAUAUUUCUAUUCUAUCUCCAAAUCUUUGAGUUGGCGACUGAAUCGAGAGCUUUGAUCUGCCAGCAAGAAGGAGGACAUGCAGAUGCCUGCGGGUCCUCCCUCAGCCCUGAAGCUCUCCACCCUCUCCAUUGCUGGGCUCUGGGCACCGCGCAGGCCUGCGGACGUGGGAGCUGGCUGCUUGUCCUGCUUGCAAUGCUCACACCCCAGCCUGAACAGAAAGCGAGCCUUAUUUUUUUUGAUCCUGUAACUGUUAGGAUGCGUUUCAGCUCUCCACGCUGACUCACUGCUCUGGCACCGAGCCAGUUUAUUUAUAUGAUUCCCCCCCUCAUUACCAUACGUGCCUCAGAAAGCAGCUGUGCUUAUAACACUUCUUCAAUAAACAAACUAAAUUAUGGACUUCAGAGGACGAUCCUAAGUCGCUCGGCUCUCCUGUGCCCUGGGCUAGAGCUGCAGCUGCCAGGUUUGGAGAGCCUCCCUGGGAGCCUCAGGGCCACUGAGGCCUCUGGCUGGUGAGGAUCUGAGUCUGGUCCCAGAUCCGUAACUAACUUUUACCUUGGCUAAACUUUUUCCCAUUUCCUCCAUCCUCAGCCCACACUUUUGUGGAUCCAGUCAGGAGGAGGACAUAGCCGUAAUUCCUUCUCAUCAGCUUUGUUUCCCAGACCUGAUCAUUUAUAAAUCCAUCAGUAAGACAAGUUUGUACAGUUAAGGCACUUGGUGACUCUUGAAACCCAUUUCUGCUGUGCUGCAGCAGAAGUACGCGGGUUCUGGAUAGAUGUCCUGAGACACACCAGAGGAGACUCCCACCUUAAAGACUUUCAUGCUAUGGAUGCCCUUUCGCACCCAGGUGCUGCUGCAAAGAUCCAGAUUUCUUACCCCUAAGUGCUUCCCCCCACACUGUCCAGUUCACAGGAGCCAUUUGCGACCCAAAGCGAUAGCUCUUCGUAGAGCUAGAACAUUUUAAGGAAGUCCCACAGCCAAUGGUCAGAGCUGCCUCCCCGUUGCUGUUAUCCGGAGCCUGUGUGGAGGCCUUUUCCCAAAAGGAAAUGGGGGCGGGUGGUGAUUAAUCCUCCAAACUUACCGAAACCUAUCUCACCCUGGGACAAGCACGGAGGCAGGAUCUGACAGUAGCAUGAAGCAUCCCCUCGGCGGUGCUCCCCAGCCCUGCAGGGUGAGCACGAGCUCCCCGGAGCUUCCUGGCUGCGCUCCCAGCCCCGGUGACUGGUUUGGGCUCUGGGCAAAGCCUCUUAUCUGCCUCGCUUUGUCAGCCUGUGAAAUGGGCAUGAGGCAUACUUCGGGCAUGCCGUUUGGU